rfam:Rhizobium yanglingense strain CCBAT 01603 genomic scaffold C601, whole genome shotgun sequence.
GACGCUCUAACGGGGUGCCUGGAUGUCCGCAAGGAUACCGGCUGAGAGGCAUCGAGCCAACCCGCGGAACCUGAUCCGGUUAACACCGGCGGAGGGAUUAGACGCGUGACAUUC